ensembl:lncRNA
UUGAGCUCAUUGGCCUAUAGCUUGCAAACUCCAGUCUCUGUUUGUCUUCUUCUCUCUCCUUCUUUCCUCCCUCCCUCCCCCUUUCUUUCUCUGUUUUUGUCUCUCUCUUUCUCUUUGUCUCUUUCUUUCUCUGUCUCUCUUUCUGUCUUUUACCUCUUUCUGUCCCUGUCUCUUUUCUCUUUGUCUCUCUGUCUUUAUCUUUCUCUCUCUUCCUCUUUUAUCUCUUUCUGUCCCUGUCUCUCUCUUUCUCUUUGUCUCUCUGUCUUUCUUUGUCUCUCUGUCUCUUUCUCUUUCUCUUUCUGUCCCUGUCUCUCUCUGUCUCUCUCUUUCUCUUUGUCUCUGUCUUUCUUUGUCUCUCUUUCUGUCUUUAUCUCUUUAUCUCUUUCUGUCCCUGUCUCUCUUUCUCUUUGUCUCUCUUUCUUUGUCUCUCUGUCACUUUCUCUUUAUCUCUUUCUGUCCCUGUCUCUCUCUUUCUCUUUGUCUCUCUCUUUCUCUUUCCCUCUCUUUCUCCGUCUUUGUCUCUCUUUCUGUCUCUGUCUUUCCUUUUUUUUUCUUUCUCUCCAUUUUUUGAAAAUCCAGAUAAGGUUUGCCCUUUUCUAGUCCUUUAGCAACUCGCCUGCUCUCCAUGCUUUUUCAAAGACCCCUGACUAGAGCUCCACCAUCACAUCCGUCAGAGUCUUUCAGAAAUAGGAGGCCUGAAUUUAUAAGUCAACGAGAGUGAUCUCUUAACUCUUUCCAUUGAUCUUGGAUUUCACCGUCCAAUUGGCCAUUCCCCCACCUAGUUUUUCUAGUCCAAAGAGCAGUCCCCUUGACAGAGAAAAUGGUUGCAGAGUAAGAGUGGAGCAGGCUGUCAUCUCUUCCAUCAGUUGUUGCCAUCCCAUCCACUUCCAGCUGGUGGGCCUCUCUCUACCAUGAUCCUUCCUUCCCGUCCCCCAAAUAGUAUCAACAUUACCUGGUCUUGUGGCCGUCCUUCCCUUCCCUCUCCAGGCUCAGCUCAUUCUGAGAUUCCAGUCCUGACCCCAAUCCUACAAACAAUGCUUCCUGGCUACUGUGUUCAUCUCUUGUUCCCUUCCUUGGUUCCCAUCUUCUGUACAUUUAGUGACUUCCCUGAGCACCCACAUUAUCUCUUUAGACGAUUCCCCUCUUCCACCUCCCCUUAAUUCUUUCUCUGCAUGCCUUUAGAAUUGUAUUUUUGAGAAGUUCCUAGUAUUUUAGUCCACGAGAUGCUCCCUGAACUCUCUGAAAUCUCUUCCACAACAGCCAAAGGCCCAUUGUCAGCCCAUGUCCUGUUUUUCGUUCCUCCAUCACAAAUUCUAAGAUGGGUUGGUCCUUCCUCUUCUUUUCCUUCUUCCCCUGAGGUUUCCGGCCAAUAGUUCCUUCUUGGUGAGAAGCAGAUCAAGAACGGAAUUUCCUCUUAUUGGUUCUUCCACCUUUUUCUUGUCUUUUCCCCUUUUUAAAAAAUUAUAGAUUCUAUUUUACCAAUUACAUGCAGUAAUACUUUUCCACAUGUGUUUUCUGAAAGUAUAAGAUCCAAAUUGUCUCCCUCCCUCUCUGCUCUCCCCCUUCCCAGAGCUGGCAAGCAAUUUGAUUGGGGUUACACAUGUAUUAUCCUGAAAAACAUUUCCACAUUCCUUUUUAUAAGAGAAUAAUCAUAUAACCCCCCACCCAAAUAAAAACCCAAAUGAACUUACGUGAAAAACCA